rnacentral:tRNA from 1 species
GGAAAGGUGUCCGAGUGGUUUAAGGAGCACGCUUGGAAAGCGUGUGUACGGGAAACCGUACCGUGGGUUCGAAUCCCACCCUUUCCGCCA